UAACAUUGCACCUCGGAAUAGAAUAUUUCUUGAAAGAUGGCGCUAUAUAAAUGCCUAUUAUUAUUACUAUGUAAGAUGCGUCACAAGAAAUUCCAUACGAAUGGGUGUUGCAUGUCUGAUGGGCCUUUCAUAAAGAGCUAACAAGAUGCGAGAGGCUUGAAGAAAAAUGUCAUGAAAUGCUGCGGCUAGAAUUUUUCACUUUGGAGAUUUCUCAUGAAAAAUUUUGAAGUGGCCUCUUGGCUCCCGAACCUGGUCGGUUAAGGGUUUUAAUCAUUUUGAUUUACUCCAAAUGAAAUCUCCAUUAGAUAUGAACUGAUGAUUGAAAUUUUAUUUUAUCAUCAUAUUUUUUUAUGGAGAAUAUAUUUCCCUACCUUUUCGGGUUUUGUAAUUAUUAUCAUAUCAUUAGUACUAGUAUACUGUUUGUGUAAUCAUUACUCACCAUUGCUACUCCUUAUACCAUAAUUGCUUCUUAUACUUUAUUCAUUCUGUUAUACAUUCGAGUAGUAAAACAAAUAUUGUUGUAUAUGAGAUAUUAUACUCAGAUGAUCAUUUAAUAUUUUAUGAAUUAAAUAAAUGGACUUGCAAGCCAAGGUAAUGGAAUACAUAACUACUAAUGAUAUAUUUUAUCUAUAUGAUUAUGAUUGAAAACUGAUGUCCAAGACAACUUCCUAUACAUUGAUUAAUUUGUGCUUAUACUUUUGUUGUUAAUGCUUAUUAUUUUUGUGCUAUGUGAAAUGGUCGUUAUGUAUGGUAAGAUUUUUCCUCAUGGCAUGGAUUACAAUCUGUUUUUAUUUUGUUGUAUAUUUAUGCACAUUGAGUUACAGUAACAAAGGAUUUAUAGAUAACAUU